GAUCACACGAUGUCACGAUCGAUUUAUGAUCGCUACUCGCUACCCUCUUCGUCUGGCGUCUGGGGACUUGUACGCGCACGCGCCGCCUCGGCCUCGCGGCUCUCGCGCCCUCUCGUCCACAUAGUCGACUCCUCCACCUCCACGGCUCCACGUCCAGACGGCGAGACGAAACGCAGGCGCCGGCCGCCGCAUAGCUGCACAAGUGCACAGGAUGACCGGCGACGAUGGUGCAAAUCCUGGAAGGAAGAAAGGUUUUCUACAAUCUACUCCCUGCCCGCUCCUCUGUCUCUGUGUUUGAUUGUCUUGCAGAUUUGAUGUAACUAGAAAAUUUCUAUUGUCCCCUUUGUGUAUUGUGCUUCUGUACAUAUGAAGAGGAAAAGAGAUGGAAUUCAGAAAAUUUUCAGGCCAAUUGCUUCAAGCUCACAGCCACAACCACAUGAACAAUUAGAUUUUGUGCAAACAGGCGAAGAAAAUAAUCCUAAUUCCACCGAGCCAGAAUCAGAACCAGAGACAAUUAUAAUCACGGAAUAUGAUCGAGACCCAGGUACACGUCUUCCAAUCUGGGAAAUCCCUUCUGAUAAGCAAGAUGAUGCUAGGCGUUUUUAUAUAACCGAGGCCCCGUAUCAACCAAAAUUGGAUGAGUAUUUAUUUACUGGAACCGGUGCUAGCCGCCGAUUUCAGAGUGCUUGGUUCACAAAUUUUUCUUGGUUGGAAUAUUCACCUCAUACAAAUCGUGCCUAUUGCUUGCCUUGGUUUCUCUUUUCAAAAAAGCCAAUUGGUAAGUGUGGUUCAGAUACAUUUUCAGUCAAAGGAUUUGAUAAGUGGAAGAAGGUCAAUUGGUAACAUGAGAGGAGGGUGGAAUGAGCUCAAAGCUCUAAUUCUCCAGGAGUGUCCUUAUGCGUAUUAUAUUCACUGUCUUGCUCAUCAACUUCAAUUGGCUCUUGUUGCUGCUUCAAGGGAGGCACCUAAGGUCCACAACUUCUUUCAAAAUGCAAAUUUUAUUGUAAAUACUGUUAGUGCAUCUCCCAAACGCAAUCAUGAGCUGCUAGAUAAUCAGGCUAUUGAAAUUGCAAAGGAGAUUGAACUAGGAGAGCUUGACACAGGAAGAGGGUUAAAUCAAAUAGGAUCUUUACAAAGGGCCGGAGACACAAGAUGGAGUUCCCAUUAUAAGUCAGUAAAGAGCUUUUUAAGGCUGUUUGGUCCAUCAGUUUUGGUACUAAGAGGUGUAGCAAAUGACCGUUCAGUUCCAUGGGGUCCAAGAGGAGAUGCCGAGGGUGCCCUUAAUUUUCUGGUUACAUUUGAUUUUGUCUUCAUUCUACACCUCAUGGAGAAAAUUAUGAAGAUCACUGAUGUCUUGUGUGUCAAACUCCAAAAUAAAACUUUAGAUAUUGCAAAUGCACUGGAUAUUAUUUCUAACGCCCCGCAAAGCUAUUGCUUGCUGAAUUGAGAGAAGGUGGAUGGGAUAGUCUUAUAGAAGAGGUGGGCGCCUUUUGUUUGAAGCAUGAGAUUAACAUACCGGAUAUGAAUCAAAAGUAUGUUGAUGUGAAGAAAUCUCGAAAUAAGCAUGACAACACCACAAUAUUCCAUCACUACAAAGUAGAUGUGUUUAAUGCUGCAAUAGAUCAACAACUGACAGAGUUGAAUCAUCGAUUUAGUUCUCAAGUAACUGAGCUUCUAGAUCUCUGUACAUUCUUGGAUCCUAGAUAUGAUAAUUUUGACAAGUCCAAGAUAUGCAUGUUAGACUGUACUAGCAAAAGUGCCCGUGCGAUGCACCGGGUAGAUUUUCAAAAUGGGUUUUAUUUGAUGGAGAAUUUAUCUACUCUAUAUGGCUUAUCUCUUAAAACCAGUGCCAAGCCGUGGUGAUCAAACGUUGAUGCAACUUAACAAUGGUCUUGUGAGGCAGGCCUUGCAGUGGUCAUGUGAGUAGCUUCCUCGAAGUCACGGAAAAAGCAUGGAUGAUGCUAGCAAAUCGGUGAUCUGCUCACAUAUUCUUAAUAAUACAUUUUCUUUUCUUUGCAUUUUGACUCACAUGUCAAUAAAUUUUUAUCUCACGUAAUUAUGAAAAUAAUUUGACUUAUCAGGAAGUAUUUUAAUGGUUUUUUCUUUUAUAUAAAUCAUUUAAUAAGUGAAAGGAAUAAUUAGAUAAUUCAUGAAAUAUUGUUUGAGGAAAAAUUCAUUAAUCUUCUAAAACUUGAAAUAUCUUGUUUAGAUGUACUGUACUAAUUUUUGUAAAUUCUAAGAUCAUUUACACAUAAAUAAUUACAACUUUUUUCUUACAAAAUGUUCUUCUGCAUCGCAAAUUUCAUAUAUAUAGCAUAAUCCUCCACAUUUGCUGCAAACUCACUUAUACUACAGACUCACGACCUAAAGAUUUACGUGUAAAUUAAGGAACAAAGAGCUCAUUCGGAACCCAUCAAUCAUCUGGAGUAGUAGUAACUUCAGCAAGGAGGAUCACAUCUAUUUAAAAUUUAGUGGUACAAUCUAUCGUACAUAACCGUGUGUCAGUCUGUCCCUCAUUCUCCCUUGAAAUUUAUCUAGAAUCCACCGAAGCAAAAGAACAGCGGCAGCAACCGUCUCUUCUUCCUCCCUGAAUUUCUUGCCCAAAUCGCCAGCAGCAGGGCUCCGCCCCGAUGACCUUCCACUCAUGUCUAGAUGGCUACCCACCAGCCGAAAUCCACCCCCAUCCUCUCUGCCUCGCCUCGCCGCACGCCCACCUCUCUCCCUUACCAAGCCGACGGGCCCCCUCUCUCCCUCUCCUCUACCGGGGCACGCAGACGCCACAUCGAGGGAGGACUGAGGAGAGGAUAGGGGAGAAAAAAAUCGUCGAGCAGAAGCCUAUGCCUGGCUCCCAAGCGCAGCAGCCUAGGACAAGGGCCGGACGCACAGCGGCUGGGAGGCGGCCGUCCUCAGGCGAGGAUGUGGGGUGGAGAAUCCCCGGGAGAGAGAGAAAAAAUGGGAGGGUAGGAGAGGAGGUUGGGAUCCUUCUACAAGCCGGAGGACCAGGACCGCCGUCCCUUCCUCCGCGUCUCAAUGGCGGAAGCCGCCCGUUCCGAAGAGGCGCGGCUCGCCCUCCAUGGCCUGCCUCCUCAACAUCGCGAAAGAUGUAGCGCACCUACAGAGCGCCCACCUCUGUAACACGGACAUAUGCUCGACGCACACCUGCGCUCCUCCCAGCGAGCUCCACCUCCGCUCCUCUUCCUUCUGUGUGGCAAGGACGAAGCUGCCGACUACGGCUGAGCUAGGGCCACAGGGAAUUGGACCGCAUCUUAGAAAAUCCGGGGCCUGAAUCGUCUGCAUCCACCGCUUGGUCUCAGAAAAGUCAAGCCCCAAAUCCUCUGCAUCUAUCGCCUUGGCCUCAGGAACAGCCGGGCGACUCGUCCUCAUCCGCCUUGUUGUUAGACACCCCGCGGCACCAUGAGCGGUGAAGCGCUUGGGCGCACCUUCCGCACCGGCCAAUGGUCGAUCUAUUAGUCGGAAAUCUCGAUUGUAAACCCUGCUAUCGAUUCGGCAGGAGAAAUCUCGAUGGGAAACCCUAGCUAUUUAUUCGGCAGGAGGUAGUAUGAUCUUAUAGAGGGGGCUACGAACGGAUCUACUCCGUAUCUUGAGGUGGAAGUUGGAGGCGAACGUGUUUAUCUUGAACUCCUACAGCCCGUGUUGAGGAAUCAGAAGAAUAGAUGGAUGGAUUCAUGGA